CCCUCUUUCCCUUCCCUUCCCUUCCCUUCCCUUCCCUUCCCUUCCCUUCCCUUCCCUUCCCUUCCCUUCCCUCACCUCACCUCACUUCUCCUCCCGGGGUCGCCCCGUGGCGGCGCAGGGAGGUAACGGCCGCGACGGGCGGCCCUGAGGGGCAGGUGGGCUUCUGGAACCGCAGCAACUGGCGACAGUGACAAAAUCACCCAGCAAAGCAGUGGCAAAGAAUGAAACAGAAGUUCCUAAUGGCUACUUAAAUUCACACUGAAAACUGAUGGAGCUCUGAAGUGUGCAAGGAUUACUGAAGAGGCAUUUAACACUUCUUUACUUCAGACCAUUCUUUUGUUUCCUAAAGCAACGUCAAAAGAGACAGGAAGCCUUCCAGAAUUCUGCUGUACGAAUCGAUAACCAUGGUAUUAACAGGAGUACUCAAAGAAAACAUGCCAUUGCAGAGAAGUUUAUAAACUAUUUGAGUCAGUUUUCACCAGGAGGAAACUGGAAACCUUGGUGAGAAACUCACCAGUAGUUUCACCUUGCUGGAAAUGGAAGGGGUUUUGAAGACAGAGUGGAUAAAUCUGAUAAAAUGAAUGGUAAGAAACCAUUAGGACCAGAGGGAAGUUACUAGCAGGUGUGUGUAACUACACUUUUAAAAAUGUAAUGAUACCCGUUGUAUGCAGGAUGCCAAAUAUAACGUCAACUUUUAAAAAGAGUUGCAUGGAAGAUAGGGGGCCUGACAGGCUGGACACCUGGAUAAGUAUGAUUGACUUGGUAGAAUCCACAUAACUUCAUAGAGGAAAAUUCUGCCUUACAAAUGUACAGAAUUCCCUGAAGUCAACCUGCAUGUUGAAAAGAGUGGCUUGUAUAGCCUCACUGCAUGUACAAGGAACUCACCUGCUUGGAGCAGAUAAGGGAAUGCAAGCCUAGUUGCAGCACCUGGAGUAUUUAUUUCCAAUCUCACGUUACUUAACAACAGCUAAACAGCUGUUUUUCUCACCUAUUCCCAACACCUUCCUUAAAUACCUGUUUCUAAGUCAUAGUGCUGAGUAAAGUGCAGCUCAGUCACUCUGUAAUGUUCCUUAACCUACUCUUUUCUUAACACUGUAAUAUCUUAGUUCCUCUCUCUCAUGAGACGAGCAAUACUGUGCUAGUUCUGGAAAGUGAUUUCAAGGAAGAGGGCUUUCAAAGGUAUAUUUCUAGGGGGAACUGAAAGCAUUCUAACCACUAUAAUUACAAACCCUCCGUUCCUCUAGUUGUAGCUCCACUUCUAGGUUCCUGAGAAAAGGGAUGCUGCAUGAAUGUGUAUGAAUGAACUUAGUCUCAAAGCCUGAAAACACCCUACUUGCUAACAAAGUCUAGCAGGCAAAGCAGAAUGGACAUGUGCAGAUCCUAUACCAGACUUUCUGUGACAGGAACAUUUCAGAAGGAAAAUGAAAUCUCUCUCUCUGGAGGCUCACAGGAAUUCUGCACUGCUACAGACUUUUACCAUGGAACCAACUUAGAGCUCAGACAUAGUGUUAUCCCUCUCAUACUGCUGUGUUUCUACUGUUCAUCUGAUUGGGUGUCAUUUUUGAUCAUGAACAGCAGUCUAAAAUAUGGGCUCUGCUGUAUUGUGUGAAGAUCUUAUUUCUAAAAAUCGUUCCAUUUAAUUUUUAG